rnacentral:rRNA from 1 species
GACAGAGGGUGCAAACGUUGUUCGGAAUUACUGGGCAUAAAGAGCACGUAGGUGGUCUGCUAAGUCACAUGUGAAAUACCCCAGCUCAACCGAGGAACUGCCUGUCAGACUGGAAGGCUUGAGACCGGGAGAGGUGAGUGGAAUUCCCAGUGUAGCGGUGAAAUGCGUAGAUAUUGGGAGGAACACCAGUGGCGAAGGCGGCUCACUGGACCGGAACUGACGCUGAGGCGCGAAAGCGUGGGGAGCAAACAGG